rnacentral:rRNA from 1 species
UUGCAUAUCAUUAAGCGGAGGAAAAGAAACCAACUGGGAUUACCUUAGUAACGGCGAGUGAAGCGGUAAAAGCUCAAAUUUGAAAUCUGGUACUUUCAGUGCCCGAGUUGUAAUUUGUAGAAUUUGUCUUUGAUUAGGUCCUUGUCUAUGUUCCUUGGAACAGGACGUCAUAGAGGGUGAGAAUCCCGUUUGGCGAGGAUACCUUUUCUCUGUAAGACUUUUUCGAAGAGUCGAGUUGUUUGGGAAUGCAGCUCAAAGUGGGUGGUAAAUUCCAUCUAAAGCUAAAUAUUGGCGAGAGACCGAUAGCGAACAAGUACAGUGAUGGAAAGAUGAAAAGAACUUUGAAAAGAGAGUGAAAAAGUACGUGAAAUUGUUGAAAGGGAAGGGCAUUUGAUCAGACAUGGUGUUUUUUGCAUGCACUCGCCUCUCGUGGGCUUGGGCCUCUCAAAAAUUUCACUGGGCCAACAUCAAUUCUGGCAGCAGGAUAAAUCAUUAAGAAUGUAGCUACUUCGGUAGUGUUAUAGCUUUUUGGAAUACUGUUAGCCGGGAUUGAGGACUGCGCUUCGGCAAGGAUGUUGGCAUAAUGGUUAAAUGCCGCCCGUCUGA